UACGGAGGGUCCAAGCGUUAUCCGGAAUCAUUGGGUUUAAAGGGUCCGUAGGCGGCCGAAUAAGUCAGUGGUGAAAGCCCAUCGCUCAACGAUGGAACGGCCAUUGAUACUGUUUGGCUUGAAUUAUUAGGAAGUAACUAGAAUAUGUAGUGUAGCGGUGAAAUGCUUAGAGAUUACAUGGAAUACCAAUUGCGAAGGCAGGUUACUACUAGUAUAUUGACGCUGAUGGACGAAAGCGUGGGGAGCGAACAGG
rnacentral:rRNA from 1 species